rnacentral:rRNA from 1 species
AUGCCGCCCCUGGGCUGCGCCGCCAUCUUGUGGGAAAUCGGCAUCCUCCUGGUGGCGUCGCUCCUCACCCAGGUUGUGCUCCACCUCGACCGUGGCCAGUACCAGUCGCUCAUCCUCAUCGCCAUGAUGUCGUUCGGCUCCUUCUGCCUGCUAACUGUCUUCUUCAAGAUGGUCUGGGUGUCCCUGUUCUACAUCCUCUUCAUCACUUCAUCCAUCAUCAUUGCCGAGGUGGUGCACACCCGCAACCUCAUGCUGAUGAUCCGCAGCCUCGACACUCAUGACUCGGGCAAGCACCUUGUCCUACACCGCGCGCUGCUGCCAGCCAGCUCUGCCUCUACUACACCGCCAUCGGCGGCAUCAGCGCGGCCCUCAUGGCUGCAUUCAUGUACCACAUGUUGA